rnacentral:lncRNA from 15 species
AUGAAGAUGAGGGGGAAUAUCUGCUGCUGCCUGUUAGCUUUUGUUCUGAGCUGCAAUGUCACUGCAGGAACAACCAGACUUGAUGCUGCAGAGAGGACCACCAUCACUCUGAAAUGUCCUCCUGAUGUUGGAGGAUCAGAUGUUCCAACAUGGAGCAGAGACACUGUUGAAAUACAACAACAGAGACGGUUUCAUGUUUCACCUGCUGACAACACGUUGAUAAUAACAGACCUGCAGCCUGCUGACUCUGGACUUUAUUACUGUGAUGGAAAACUUGCUGCGUAUCUAAUUGUGAACAAAGGUGAGACAUCUGAAAGAGGUGAGACACAAGAAGUGAGACAGGAAGACAGAAAUAUGGGCAGAAUAAGCAGCUGCUGUAUGCCAACACUAUACACAUAAACUGUGUGGUCAAGAUCUGCUAGUUAACAACACUGAGAGAUUCAGACUUUACUACAAAAUCGACUUUAACUCGCUUAAUUCUGAACCUGAAUUUGGUUUGUCAUAUAUAUGAGAAAUUGAACCUGAUACUGGUUGGAAUUAAUUCAGUCACUGUGCAGGAUUCAUUUACACGUGACUUUUGCUACAAACCUGCAAAUGUGUGUGGAGAUCUGUCAGUGUGUCUCAGUAGCUGUACAGCCUACAGACCAGCAGAUGGAGGUAGUGUCUAUUGUUUUACAGCCAAAUAGUGAUAUGGGGCACCGGAUAUAUUAAAUUUACUGUUUAUCAGACCAAAACUGAGUCAUGAAUUAGGUUAAAAAAAAACAAUAGAUGAAUAAUAACACAUAUUUAGAUUAUUUUACACAUUUGCAAAUCUGAUACACACAGAUACAGAUACAGUUACUCUGAGCUCUGUGUGUGAGAGCCUCAAUGCAGCUCAGUUCUAACCUUUAGAUACAGAAUCUACUGGUUGUAAAUAUGAUGUAGUUCACAUCAACAUACUGCCCACUGUAUUCUCUCUGCCCCACACAGAGGCAGCAACAUCAACGACAAAAGGAACUCCUACAACUACAGUCAUUGUUUGGGAUCAAUGUAAAGAUUGCAGUCUGGUGCUUCAGUCGUCUAAAGCAGUCGGAACCAUUGUGACAAAAUAGAAAAAAGCUGAUAUUUAGCAUAAACUCCUGAGAAUGAGG